UGGCACCCGACACGCCUUCUUUCUCCUCCCGCCACCGCUACCUGAGAGCUGAGAGUGAGGAACAAAAGCGCUUUUUACAACCUAGCUCGCCUUACAACAACAUGUAUCGACAGCUGUAUCUUGCAUUAUUUGUGGUGAUUUUAAUAGCCACAAACACUGUCUAUGUCUUAGCACAAAACAAUACAACGGGCUCCGUUGCUCCUGGGGGUCCAGUGUCCAGUUAUAGUACUGUCCUGACUGCCGUCCUGGUGGCCGCCAUGUCCAGUCUCUGCGCUUUGUUUCAUUAAGACUGAUCGCUAUGUGACCUCCUUCACUUCAGCUUUAACAGCUUGGAACAUCCCAGAAAGUAUAUAUUAAUUGGACCAGGCUUGUGUGAACAAAUCUUGAUGUGCUACAUGUGAUGUACAACAGACUCUACACCUCAGUGGAGGCACUCCAGGUCAAAAGGAACAGUUUUUGCUGCAGACAUGUUGUUGUUGUUGUUCAGGUGCAGCCUGCAGGUAGCUUAAAUUAACAUACAAGUUCUUUAUAAGACAACAGGAAGUUACAGGCUCUGAGCAGUCAGCAUGUAGUAACAUAGAUCUCCAUAAGACCAGAGGAAGAUACCUGCCAGGAACAGUCAAUAUGGACACCAACCACAGAGAACACAGUAAUAACAGGUCUAAGCUCCCCUCUUGAUAACAAGGGUAUAUCCGUUUGAUUUGAAGCACCAUAUUUAUGUGAAAGAGAAUGAAUGAAUGGUACUUGAACUAUCAGCCACUUAAUUUAACAGCAUUUCUCUCAAGAAUUAACUCUAAAACUGUUCAUAGAAUGUCAGAAAGCAGCAAAAAAUGUUCCUUUUUAGCCUUUCAUGGUAUUUUAAUAACUUAUUUUUAAUAUUGUCAUAGAUUUUAAAAUGAUACAUUUUAUUGUCAAGAAAAACUUAUUGUUUUACAGGUAAAAGUGAUAAUUCCCUUAUAUUUUAUUAAUAGUACAUACUGUUUUUUUUCCAUGAAUGUAAAACAAAACCUUUUUUAAAAAUGUGUGCAAUUUGUAAUGUACUUAGAACAUAUUCAGUUCUUAAAUAACUGAACUUUGAAUGUUGAGAUUCCGCUAUCUAAUUAUAGCACUGUCGAUUGGUGUUUCUUAAUGCUGUAAUAUAUGGCUACAUAACAUGCUUGACCAGCGUUCCAAGCCACUUGACCAAACCUGCUACAACCAUGGGGAAUGAGCACCACCAGAACAUUCUCUGCUCUCAGGGAUGACAAUGAGCCAUUAAUUCAACCUUUAGGAAACGAACAGAUACGAUUAUAUGAAGCAAAUUGAUUUGGAUUGUAGCUUUUCUUAAUUGUUUAAAUAGAUGGAAAUUUCAAAUGAUUUUAUUGCUUUGUCUCCUUGAAUAUGUUCAGUAUCCUAUUGUAUUGAUCCUCACUUGCCAGCUGCCGGCUUUCACAUUUGCAUAUCUGGAAUAAAUGUUCUUUGUCCUACUGCUA